rnacentral:misc_RNA from 1 species
GAAAUGCGAUAAGUAAUGUGAAUUGCAGAAUUCAGUGAAUCAUCGAAUCUUUGAACACACAUUGCGCCCCCUGGUAUUCCGGGGGGCAUGCCUGUUCGAGCGUCAUUUGUACCCUCAAGCUCUGCUUGGUGUUGGGUGUUUGUCCCCGUCUCCGCGCGUGGACUCGCCCCAAAGUGAUUGGCAGCCGGCGUACUGGUCCCGGAGCGCAGCACAUGUCGCGCAAACGAGUGCCUUGGUACGGCGGCGUCCAUAAGCCCCUCUCUCACGCUCUUGACCUCGGAUCAGGUAGGGAUACCCGCUGAACUUAAGC